rnacentral:misc_RNA from 1 species
UUUCCGUAGGUGAACCUGCGGAAGGAUCAUUACUGAAGUGAGUCUUCAUCAUUGAAGCUUCUUCCCAUUGUGCUGGCUUUGACCGUAUGUAAUGUUGGGGGUUAAACAUGGUUGAAAUUUUUUUUAGCCGUCCCCAACAAUUUAUCUUAUCCUUUAUUAAAUUGAACUGAACUCAUUUUGAGAUUACAUAAAAAAUAAUCUUUUAAUACAACUUUCAACAACGGAUCUCUUGGUUCUC